UCCAUAGGUUAAUGAGGCGAACCGGGGGAACUGAAACAUCUAAGUACCCCGAGGAAAAGAAAUCAACCGAGAUUCCCCCAGUAGCGGCGAGCGAACGGGGAGGAGCCCAGAGCCUGAAUCAGCAUGUGUGUUAGUGGAAGCGUCUGGAAAGGCGCGCGAUACAGGGUGACAGCCCCGUACACAAAAGCGCAUGUGCUGUGAGCUCGAUGAGUAGGGCGGGACACGUGGUAUCCUGUCUGAAUAUGGGGGGACCAUCCUCCAAGGCUAAAUACUCCUGACUGACCGAUAGUGAACCAGUACCGUGAGGGAAAGGCGAAAAGAACCCCGGCGAGGGGAGUGAAAAAGAACCUGAAACCGUGUACGUACAAGCAGUGGGAGCACCCUUUUGGGUGUGACUGCGUACCUUUUGUAUAAUGGGUCAGCGACUUAUAUUCUGUAGCAAGGUUAACCGAAUAGGGGAGCCGGAGGGAAACCGAGUCUUAAUUGGGCGUUAAGUUGCAGGGUAUAGACCCGAAACCCGGUGAUCUAGCCAUGGGCAGGUUGAAGGUUGGGUAACACUAACUGGAGGACCGAACCGACUAAUGUUGAAAAAUUAGCGGAUGACCUGUGGCUGGGGGUGAAAGGCCAAUCAAACCGGGAGAUAGCUGGUUCUCCCCGAAAGCUAUUUAGGUAGCGCCUCGUGAAUUCAUCUCCGGGGGUAGAGCACUGUUUCGGCUAGGGGGCCAUCCCGGCUUACCAACCCGAUGCAAACUGCGAAUACCGGAGAAUGUUAUCACGGGAGACACACGGCGGGUGCUAACGUCCGUCGUGAAGAGGGAAACAACCCAGACCGCCAGCUAAGGUCCCAAAGUCAUGGUUAAGUGGGAAACGAUGUGGGAAGGCCCAGACAGCCAGGAUGUUGGCUUAGAAGCAGCCAUCAUUUAAAGAAAGCGUAAUAGCUCACUGGUCGAGUCGGCCUGCGCGGAAGAUGUAACGGGGCUAAACCAUGCACCGAAGCUGCGGCAGCGACACUGUGUGUUGUUGGGUAGGGGAGCGUUCUGUAAGCCUGUGAAGGUGUGCUGUGAGGCAUGCUGGAGGUAUCAGAAGUGCGAAUGCUGACAUAAGUAACGAUAAAGCGGGUGAAAAGCCCGCUCGCCGGAAGACCAAGGGUUCCUGUCCAACGUUAAUCGGGGCAGGGUGAGUCGACCCCUAAGGCGAGGCCGAAAGGCGUAGUCGAUGGGAAACGGGUUAAUAUUCCCGUACUUGGUGUUACUGCGAAGGGGGGACGGAGAAGGCUAUGUUGGCCGGGCGACGGUUGUCCCGGUUUAAGCGUGUAGGUGUGUGUUCCAGGUAAAUCCGGUU
rnacentral:rRNA from 1 species